AAGUCAUGCAUUAGGCAUUUACGUAAUAAAUCUUUAAAACACUCCCAAACUUCAUAUAGGUUUUCAUCCUCCAAUUUCAUCAAAGAUGUUAGAUAUUUCCUUAGUUU